UACAGAGGUCUCAAGCGUUGUCCGGAAUUACUGGGCGUAAAGGGCUCGUAGGCGGCCAACUAAGUCGGACGUGAAAUCCCCAGGCUCAACCUGGGAACUGCGUCCGAUACUGGAUGGCUUGAAUCCGGGAGAGGGAUGCAGAAUUCCAGGUGUAGCGGUGAAAUGCGUAGAUAUCUGGAGGAAUACCGGUGGCGAAGGCGGCAUCCUGGACCGGCAUUGACGUUGAGGAGCGAAAGCCAGGGGAGCAAACGGG
rnacentral:rRNA from 1 species